CGCUUUGGCUGAAUUAGUGAUCGGCUGAAGCAUUACUUAAACAAUUGGAGUUUAUUAUGUCACUAAGCAAUCAAGAAAAAGCAGAAAUCGUAGCAAAAUUCGCACGCGCAGAA
rfam:Pseudoalteromonas rubra strain S2471 contig0028, whole genome shotgun sequence.